CCUACGGGAGGCAGCAGUGAGGAAUAUUGGUCAAUGGGCGCAAGCCUGAACCAGCCAAGUCGCGUGAGGGAUGACGGUCCUAUGGAUUGUAAACCUCUUUUGUCGGGGAGCAAGGCCCGCCACGUGUGGCGGGAAGGAGAGUACCCGAAGAAAAGGCAUCGGCUAACUCCGUGCCAGCAGCCGCGGUAAUACGGAGGAUGCGAGCGUUAUCCGGCUUUAUUGGGUUUAAAGGGUGCGUAGGCGGAAGGUUAAGUCAGCGGUAAAAUGUCGGUGCUCAACACCGGCCUGCCGUUGAAACUGGUCUUCUUGAGUGAGCGAGAAGUAUGCGGAAUGCGUGGUGUAGCGGUGAAAUGCAUAGAUAUCACGCAGAACUCCGAUUGCGAAGGCAGCAUACCGGCGCUCAACUGACGCUGAGGCACGAAAGCGUGGGGAUCGAACAGGAUUAGAUACCCUGGUAGUC
rnacentral:rRNA from 1 species